GCAUUGGUGGUUCAGUGGUAGAAUUCUCAUCUUUCACAUGGGAGACCUGGGCUUGAUUCUAGGCCAAUGCA
rnacentral:tRNA from 1 species